rnacentral:rRNA from 1 species
GACGAACGCUGGCGGCGUGCCUAAUACAUGCAAGUUGAGCGCUGAAGGUUGGUACUUGUACCAACUGGAUGAGCAGCGCACGGGUGAGUAACGCGUGGGGAAUCUGCCUUUGAGCGGGGGACAACAUUUGGAAACGAAUGCUAAUACCGCAUAAAAACUUUAAACACAAGUUUUAAGUUUGAAAGAUGCAAUUGCAUCACUCAAAGAUGAUCCCGCGUUGUAUUAGCUAGUUGGUGAGGUAAAGGCUCACCAAGGCGAUGAUACAUAGCCGACCUGAGAGGGUGAUCGGCCACAUUGGGACUGAGACACGGCCCAAACGCCUACGGGAGGCAGCAGUAGGGAAUCUUCGGCAAUGGACGAAAGUCUGACCGAGCAACGCCGCGUGAGGGAAGAAGGUUGUCGGAUCGUAAAACUCGGUUGGUAGAGAAGAACGUUGGUGAGAGUGGAAAGCUCAUCAAGUGACGGUAACUACCCAGAAAGGGACGGCUAACUACGUG